UGGGGAAUAUUGCACAAUGGGGGAAACCCUGAUGCAGCGACGCCGCGUGGAGGAAGAAGGCCCUCGGGUUGUAAACUCCUGUCUUUGGGGACGAUAAUGACGGUACCCAAGGAGGAAGCCACGGCUAACUACGUGCCAGCAGCCGCGGUAAAACGUAGGUGGCAAGCGUUGUCCGGGAAUUACUGGGUGUAAAGGGAGCGCAGGCGGAGCGGCAAGUUGGAGGUGAAAACCCAUGGGCUCAACCCAUGAAUUGCCUUCAAACUGUCGGUCUUGAGUGGUGUAGAGGUAAGCGGAAUUCCCGGUGUAGCGGUGGAAUGCGUAGAUAUCGGGAGGAACACCAGUGGCGAAGGCGGCUUACUGGGCACUAACUGACGCUGAGGCUCGAAAGCAUGGGUAGCAAACAGGAUUAGAUACC
rnacentral:rRNA from 1 species